AUCCGUUUAACAAGAUUGAGGGGGCAGAGGCAGGGGACAAGUUACCAAAGCCUUUCCCCACCCCCUUCUUCCCCCCACUCAGAGCCGGAUUAAGGAUGGGGCCCCGGGGGACUCGGGGAGAGAGAGAGAGACACAUGCAGUAGAGUGAAAUGCUGUGGAGUGUGUUACAGCCUGUCUGUCUGCAAAAGGCGAGCACAACGGCAAGCUGCUGCUGCUGCUGGGAGCCCACACCAGUCCCCUUCUCAGGCCCCCUCCCCUUCUGUCGCCUCAUCCCCCUCUCCUUCCCAGUCCCCUACUCAGGCCCCCUCCCCUUCUGUUGCCCCAUCCCCCUCUUCUUCCCAGGCCCCUUCUCAGGCCCCCUUCCCUUCUGUUGCCCCAUCCCCCUCUUCUUCCCAGGCCCCUUCUCAGGCCCCCUCCCCUUCUGUCUCCCCAUCCCCCUCUUCUUCCCAGUCCCCUUCUCAGGCCCCCUCCCCUUCUGUCUCCCCAUCCCCCUCUUCUUCCCAGUCCCCUUCUCAGGCCCCCUCCCCUUCUGUCUCGUCAUCCCCCUCUUCUUCCCAGGCCCAAUCUCAGGCCCCCUCCCCCUCUCUUUACCAAUACCCCUCUCUGUCCCCCUCCCCCUCUGAAUCAGACCCACCCUCUGAAAAUAGCUCCCCAAUCCCUCCUCCUUCCCCAAUCCAGCCCCCUUCCCCAAUCCAGCCUCCUUCCCCAAUCCAGCCGCCUUCCCAAUCCAGCCUCCUUCCCCAAUCCAGCCUCCUUCCCCCAUCCAGCCCCCUUCCCCCAUCCAGCCCCCUUCCCCACCGAGUGAAUGGGCAGCAGAAGCCCCAGCUGAGAUUCCUGGGAGUCCGCAUGUGGCAGCUGAGAAUGAUGCAGUUGGAGAUCCCACAAGCCUGCCUGGCAUCCUGGCCAGCUUAAGGGCCCAUUUGCAGGCCAUGAUGUCUGAUGUAGAGAAGCUACAAAAAUUUUGUUAAAUUUAAUUUUAUUUAAAAAAAAAAAUACACUA